rnacentral:rRNA from 1 species
UACGGAGGGUGCAAGCGUUAUCCGGAUUCACUGGGUUUAAAGGGUGCGUAGGUGGAUUAGUAAGUCAGUGGUGAAAUCUCCGGGCUUAACCCGGAAACUGCCAUUGAUACUAUUAGUCUUGAAUAUUGUGGAGGUCAGCGGAAUAUGUCAUGUAGCGGUGAAAUGCUUAGAUAUGACAUAGAACACCAAUUGCGAAGGCAGCUGGCUACACAUAUAUUGACACUGAUGCACGAAAGCGUGGGGAUCAAACAGG